rnacentral:rRNA from 1 species
UAGGGAAUCUUCGGCAAUGGACGGAAGUCUGACCGAGCAACGCCGCGUGAGUGAAGAAGGUUUUCGGAUCGUAAAGCUCUGUUGUAGGAGAAGAACGAGUGUGAGAGUGGAAAGUUCACACUGUGACGGUAUCUUACCAGAAAGGGACGGCUAACUACGUGCCAGCAGCCGCGGUAAUACGUAGGUCCCGAGCGUUGUCCGGAUUUAUUGGGCGUAAAGCGAGCGCAGGCGGUUAGAUAAGUCUGAAGUUAAAGGCUGUGGCUUAACCAUAGUACGCUUUGGAAACUGUUUAACUUGAGUGCAAGAGGGGAGAGUGGAAUUCCAUGUGUAGCGGUGAAAUGCGUAGAUAUAUGGAGGAACACCGGUGGCGAAAGCGGCUCUCUGGCUUGUAACUGACGCUGAGGCUCGAAAGCGUGGGGAGCAAACAGGAUUAGAUACCCUGGUAGUCCACGCCGUAAACGAUGAGUGCUAGGUGUUAGACCCUUUCCGGGGUUUAGUGCCGCAGCUAACGCAUUAAGCACUCCGCCUGGGGAGUACGACCGCAAGGUUG